GAUGAACGCUGGCGGCGUGCCUAAUACAUGCAAGUCGAGCGAACGGACGAGAAGCUUGCUUCUCUGAUGUUAGCGGCGGACGGGUGAGUAACACGUGGAUAACCUGCCUAUAAGACUGGGAUAACUUCGGGAAACCGUAGCUAAUACCGGAUAAUAUUUUGAACCGCAUGGUUCAAAAGUGAAAGACGGUCUUGCUGUCACUUAUAGAUGGAUCCGCGCUGCAUUAGCUAGUUGGUAAGGUAACGGCUUACCAAGGCAACGAUGCAUAGCCGACCUGAGAGGGUGAUCGGCCACACGGGAACUGAGACACGGUCCAGACUCCUACGGGAGGCAGCAGUAGGGAAUCUUCCGCAAUGGGCGAAAGCCUGACGGAGCAACGCCGCGUGAGUGAUGAAGGUCUUCGGAUCGUAAAACUCUGUUAUUAGGGAAGAACAUAUGUGUAAGUAACUGUGCACAUCUUGACGGUACCUAAUCAGAAAGCCACGGCUAACUACGUG
rnacentral:rRNA from 1 species